UGAUCAUGGCUCAGAACGAACGCUGNCGGCGUGCUUAACACAUGCAAGUCGAACGGGAUCCAGAGCUUGCUCUGGUGAGAGUGGCGCACGGGUGAGUAACGCGUGGAUAACCUGCCCUGGUAUCUGGAAUAACAUCUCGAAAGGGGUGCUAAUACCGGAUAAGCCCACGGGGUCCUCGGACUCUGCGGGAAAAGGUGGCCUCUGAAUAUGCUACCGUAUCAGGAUGGGUCCGCGUACCAUUAGCUAGUUGGUAGGGUAAUGGCCUACCAAGGCUACGAUGGUUAGCUGGUCUGAGAGGAUGAUCAGCCACACUGGAACUGAGACACGGUCCAGACUCCUACGGGAGGCAGCAGUGGGGAAUUUUGCGCAAUGGGGGAAACCCUGACGCAGCAACGCCGCGUGAGUGAUGAAGGCUUUCGGGUCGUAAAGCUCUGUCAGUAGGGAAGAAGUGUAAGGGUGUUAAUACCAUCUUUACUUGACGGUACCCACAA
rnacentral:rRNA from 1 species